rnacentral:tRNA from 1 species
GCUGAAGCUCAGUGGUAAAGUGCUUGCCUUGCAUGUAUGAGGGACUGGGUUCAAUCCUCAGCAUCA